GACGAACGCUGGCGGCGUGCUUAACACAUGCAAGUCGAACGGAAAGGCCCUGCUUUUGUGGGGUGCUCGAGUGGCGAACGGGUGAGUAACACGUGAGUAACCUGCCCUUGACUUUGGGAUAACUUCAGGAAACUGGGGCUAAUACCGGAUAGGAGCUCCUGCUGCAUGGUGGGGGUUGGAAAGUUUCGGCGGUUGGGGAUGGACUCGCGGCUUAUCAGCUUGUUGGUGGGGUAGUGGCUUACCAAGGCUUUGACGGGUAGCCGGCCUGAGAGGGUGACCGGCCACAUUGGGACUGAGAGACGGCCCAGACGCCUACGGGAGGCAGAAGUGGGGAAUAUUGCACAAUGGGCGGAAGCCUGAGGCAGCAACGCCGCGUGCGGGAUGACGGCCUUCGGGUUGUAAACCGCUUUCGCCUGUGACGAAGCGUGAGUGACGGUAAUGGGUAAAGAAGCACCGGCUAACUACGUG
rnacentral:rRNA from 1 species